rnacentral:lncRNA from 1 species
GGGGCUCGACUGAUCACCCUGCAACACACACAGAGAGGUGAUCAGAGUCUCUACGACCAGCUUCAGCCCUGGGGCUCGACUGAUCACCCUGCAACACACACAGAGACCCACCCCCCUACCUGAGAGGUCGUAGUGUGGUCGUAGUGCGGUUGUAGUGUGGUCCUACCUGAGAGGUCGUAGUGCGGUCGUAGUGCGGUCGUAGUGCGGUCGUAGUGCGGUCGUAGUGCGGUCGUAGUGCGGUCCUACCUGAGAGGUCGUAGUGUGGUCGUAGUGUGGUCGUAGUGAGGUCGUAGUGUGGUCGUAGUGCGGUCGUAGUGCGGUCAUACCUGAGAGGUCGUAGUGUGGUCGUAGUGUGGUUGUAGUGCGGUCGUAGUGAGGUCGUAGUGCAGUCGUAUUGCGGUCCUACCUGAGAGGUCGUAGUGUGGUCGUAGUGCGGUCGUAGUGAGGUCGUAGUGUGGUCCUACCUGAGAGGUCGUAGUGCGGUCGUAGUGUGGUCAUAGUGCGGUCAUAGUGUGGUCGUAGUGCGGUCGUAGUGCGGUCAUAGUGUGGUCCUACCUGAGAGGUCGUAGUGCGGUCAUAGUGUGGUCCUACCUGAGAGGUCGUAGUGCGGUCGUAGUGCGGUCAUAGUGUGGUCGUAGUGAGGUCGUAGUGUGGUCGUAGUGUGGUCCUACCUGAGAGGUCAUAGUGCGGUCGUAGUGCGGUCGUAGUGUGGUCGUAGUGUGGUCGUAGUGUGGUCGUAGUGUGGUCCUACCUGAGAGGUCGUAGUGUGGUCAUAGUGUGGUCCUACCUGAGAGGUCGUAGUGUGCGUAGCAGUCGUAGUACUCUGAGGAUUCCCAGGAUGCGGUUCCCUCCGGUCAAGGCCAGAGACACCAGGAUGUCCACCAUAGAGACAAACACCAGGAUCCCAUCCAGAACAUUCCAGCUGCUCUUCAGGUAGCUCUGUUUACCCCAGCAGAACCCCAACGCUACGAUCUACAGACACAACAUUACGAAAACAAUAACAGAGAGCAGACUGAAACAGAC